rnacentral:tRNA from 1 species
GCGCGGAUGGCGGAAUUGGUAUACGCUGCGGACUUAAAAUCCGUUGCCUGAAUAAGGCUUGAGGGUUCGAGUCCCUCUCCGCGCACCA